GGCCCUUUGAGGAGUCAGAGGGAACAGGACAACAUUGUCUAAACUCUUCUUUGAGUUCUGCCAGCUUAUCGAGUACAGAAAAAUCUUCUGGCCCUGUGGUUUUCAAGCCUGGCUGCACACUAGAUCUCCUGGAGUACUUUCAGAAAAAUAGCCACGGGUAUGACAUGUGUAGUGGCAUUCUUAAAAAGCUCUCCAGGUGAGUCUCAUGUUCAGUGGGAAAUUGAUAGCCAACCUAAUGGCUGAAAUUUCUUUCUU
rnacentral:lncRNA from 1 species